rnacentral:rRNA from 1 species
ACGCUCGACACCUACGGGAGCAGCAGUCGGGAAUAUUGCGCAAUGGAGGAAACUCUGACGCAGUGACGCCGCGUAUGGGAAGAAGGUUUUCGGAUUGUAAACCAUUUUAGACAAGGAAGAAACAAGACAGUACUUGUAGAAUAAGCUCCGGCUAACUACGUGUCAGCAGCCGCGGUAAUCUGAGCGGGCUGGCAAGGC